rnacentral:rRNA from 1 species
UACAGGGGUCUCAAGCGUUGUUCGGAUUCAUUGGGCGUAAAGGGUGCGUAGGUGGCGGGGCAAGUCUGGUGUGAAAUCCCGGGGCUCAACCCCGGAACUGCACUGGAUACUGCCUUGCUAGAGCACUGGAGAGGGAACUGGAAUUUACGGUGUAGCAGUGAAAUGCGUAGAUAUCGUAAGGAAGACCAGUGGCGAAGGCGAGUUCCUGGACAGUUGCUGACACUGAGGCACGAAGGCUAGGGGAGCAAACGGG